rnacentral:rRNA from 1 species
AGUGCAUGUGGUGGAUGCCUUGGCAGUCAGAGGCGAUGAAAGACGUGAUAGCCUGCGAAAAGCUCCGGGGAGGCGGCAAAUAUCCUUUGAUCCGGAGAUGUCUGAAUGGGGGAACCCACCUACUUUAAGGUAGGUAUUGCAACAUGAAUACAUAGUGUUGCAAGGCGAACGAGGGGAAGUGAAACAUCUCAGUACCCUUAGGAAAAGAAAUCAAUUGAGAUUCCCUCAGUAGCGGCGAGCGAACGGGGAUCAGCCCAUUAAGUUAUGUGUGUUUUAGUGGAACGCUCUGGGAAGUGCGAACGUAGAGGGUGAUAUUCCCGUACACGAAAGGGCACACAUAAUGAUGACGAGUAGGGCGAGGCACGUGAAACCUUGUCUGAAUAUGGGGGGACCAUCCUCCAAGGCUAAAUACUCCUGACUGACCGAUAGUGAACCAGUACCGUGAGGGAAAGGCGAAAAGAACCCCUGUGAGGGGAGUGAAAUAGAUCCUGAAACCGCAUGCAUACAAGCAGUGGGAGCACCUUCGUGGUGUGACUGCGUACCUUUUGUAUAAUGGGUCAGCGACUUAUAUUCAGUAGCRAGGUUAACCGUAUAGGGGAGCCGUAGAGAAAUCGAGUCUUAAUAGGGCGUUUAGUUGCUGGGUAUAGACCCGAAACCAGGCGAUCUAUCCAUGAGCAGGUUGAAGGUUGGGUAACACUAACUGGAGGACCGAACCCACUGUCGUUGAAAAGCCAGGGGAUGACUUGUGGAUAGGGGUGAAAGGCUAAUCAAGCCUGGUGAUAGCUGGUUCUCCCCGAAAGCUAUUUAGGUAGCGCCUCGGACGAAUACCAUAGGGGGUAGAGCACUGUUUCGGCUAGGGGGUCAUCCCGACUUACCAAACCGAUGCAAACUCCGAAUACCUAUGAGUACUAUCCGGGAGACAGACUGCGGGUGCUAACGUCCGUAGUCAAGAGGAAAACAAUCCAGACCGCCAGCUAAGGCCCCAAAAUCAUAGUUAAGUGGGAAACGAUGUGGGAAGGCAUAGACAGCUAGGAGGUUGGCUUAGAAGCAGCCACCCUUUAAAGAAAGCGUAAUAGCUCACUAGUCGAGUCGGCCUGCGCGGAAGAUGUAACGGGGCUAAAACUAUGUGCCGAAGCUGCGGAUUUGACAUUAGUCAAGUGGUAGGGGAGCGUUCUGUAAGCCGAUGAAGGUGURUUGAGAAGYAUGCUGGAGGUAUCAGAAGUGCGAAUGCUGACGUGAGUAACGACAAAACGGGUGAAAAACCCGUUCGCCGAAAGACCAAGGGUUCCAGUCCAACGUUAAUCGGGGCUGGGUGAGUCGACCCCUAAGGCGAGGCCGAAAGGCGUAGUCGAUGGGAAAAUGGUUAAUAUUCCAUUACUUCUGUGUAAUGCGAUGAGAGGACGGAGAAGGCUAAAUCAGCCUGGCGUUGGUUGUCCAGGUGAAAGGAUGUAGGCAUGUAUCUUAGGCAAAUCCGGGGUACUCUAUGCUGAGAUCUGAUAGCAAGCUGUACUUGUACAGCGAAGUGGUUGAUGCCAUGCUUCCAGGAAAAGUCUCUAAGCUUCAGUUACACAGGAAUCGUACCCGAAACCGACACAGGUGGUCAGGUCGAGUAGACCAAGGCGCUUGAGAGAACUCUGCUGAAGGAACUAGGCAAAAUGGUACCGUAACUUCGGGAGAAGGUACGCUGUUGUUGGUGAUGGAACUCGCUUCCUGAGCUGACGACAGCCGCAGAAACCAGGCCGCUGCAACUGUUUAUUAAAAACAUAGCACUCUGCAAACACGAAAGUGGACGUAUAGGGUGUGAUGCCUGCCCGGUGCUGGAAGGUUAAUUGAUGGGGUUAGCGUAAGCGAAGCUCUUGAUCGAAGCCCCAGUAAACGGCGGCCGUAACUAUAACGGUCCUAAGGUAGCGAAAUUCCUUGUCGGGUAAGUUCCGACCUGCACGAAUGGCAUAAUGAUGGCGGCGCUGUCUCCAGCAGAGGCUCAGUGAAAUCGAAAUCGCUGUGAAGAUGCAGUGUACCCGCGGCUAGACGGAAAGACCCCGUGAACCUUUACUGCAGCUUGACACUGAACUUUGACCUUACUUGUGUAGGAUAGGUGGGAGGCUUUGAAGCUGGAACGCUAGUUCCAGUGGAGCCGUCCUUGAAAUACCACCCUGGUAAUGUUGAGGUUCUAACUCUGUCCCGUGAUCCGGGACGAGGACCGUGUCUGGUGGGUAGUUUGACUGGGGCGGUCUCCUCCUAAAGAGUAACGGAGGAGUACGAAGGUGCGCUCAGCGUGGUCGGAAAUCACGCGUAGAGUAUAAAGGCAAAAGCGCGCUUAACUGCGAGACCCACAAGUCGAGCAGGUACGAAAGUAGGUCUUAGUGAUCCGGUGGUUCUGUAUGGAAGGGCCAUCGCUCAACGGAUAAAAGGUACUCUGGGGAUAACAGGCUGAUACCGCCCAAGAGUUCAUAUCGACGGCGGUGUUUGGCACCUCGAUGUCGGCUCAUCUCAUCCUGGGGCUGAAGCAGGUCCCAAGGGUAUGGCUGUUCGCCAUUUAAAGAGGUACGCGAGCUGGGUUUAGAACGUCGUGAGACAGUUCGGUCCCUAUCUACCGUGGGCGCUGGAAAUUUGAGAGGAUCUGCUCCUAGUACGAGAGGACCAGAGUGGACGAACCUCUGGUGUACCGGUUGUGACGCCAGUCGCAUCGCCGGGUAGCUAUGUUCGGAAGGGAUAACCGCUGAAAGCAUCUAAGCGGGAAGCCUACCUCAAGAUAAGAUUUCCCUAGGACUUUAUGUCCUCUAAAGAGCCGUUCGAGACUAGGACGUUGAUAGGUUGGAUGUGGAAGCAUAGUGAUAUGUGAAGCUGACCAAUACUAAUUGCUCGUGAGGCUUGACU